rnacentral:rRNA from 1 species
UCGGGAAUUUUGGGCAAUGGGCGAAAGCCUGACCCAGCAACGCCGCGUGAGGGAUGAAGUAUUUCGGUAUGUAAACCUCGAAAGAAUGGGAAGAAUAAAUGACGGUACCAUUUAUAAGCUCCGGCUAACUACGUGCCAGCAGCCGCGGUAAUACGUAGGGAGCAAGCGUUGUUCGGAUUUACUGGGCGUAAAGGGCGCGUAGGCGGCGCGGUAAGUCACUUGUGAAAUCUCUGAGCUUAUCUCAGAACGGCCAAGUGAUACUGCUGUGCUAGAGUGCGGAAGAGGCAACCGGAAUUCUUGGUGUAGCGGUGAAAUGCGUAGAUAUCAAGAGGAACACCUGAGACGAAGGCGGGUUGCUGGGCCGACACUGACGCUGAUGCGCGAAAGCCAGGGGAGCAAACG